GCUAACAAAGGACGUCAGAACAA
rnacentral:piRNA from 1 species